rnacentral:rRNA from 1 species
UUAGUGGCGGACGGGUGAGUAACGCGUGGGUAACCUGCCUUGUACUGGGGGACGAACGGUUGGAAACGACUGCUAAUACCGCAUAAGCGCCCAGCUUCGCAUGAAGCAGUGUGAAAAACUCCGGUGGUACAAGAUGGACCCGCGUCUGAUUAGCUGGUUGGUGAGGUAACGGCCCACCAAGGCGACGAUCAGUAGCCGGCCUGAGAGGGUGAACGGCCACAUUGGGACUGAGACACGGCCCAA